CCAGACUCCUACGGGAGGCAGCAGUGGGGAAUAUUGCACAAUGGGGGAAACCCUGAUGCAGCAACGCCAUGUGAGUGAAGAAGCGUUUCGGCGCGUAAAGCUCUGUCAGCGGGGAAGAAAGAAGACGGUACCCGACCAAGAAGCCCCGGCUAACUACGUGCCAGCAGCCGCGGUAAUACGUAGGGGGCGAGCGUUAUCCGGAUUUACUGGGUGUAAAGGGGGCGCAGACGGCGGUGCAAGCCAGGAGUGAAAGCCCGGGGCCCAACCCCGGGACUGCUCUUGGAACUGCGUGGCUGGAGUGCAGGAGGGGCAGGCGGAAUUCCUGGUGUAGCGGUGAAAUGCAUAGAUAUCACGCAGAACUCCGAUUGCGAAGGCAGCGCACCGGCGCCCUACUGACGCUCAGGCACGAAAGCGUGGGGAUCGAACAGGAUUAGA
rnacentral:rRNA from 1 species